CCAAUAGCGUAUAUUAAAGUUGUUGCAGUUAAAAAGCUCGUAGUUGAAUUUCGGGGUCAGUAGAUUGGUCAUGCCACUGGUAUGUACUGGUCUCACUGAUUCCUCCUUCCUGAUGAGCCGUAAUGCCAUUAAUUUGGUGUUGCGAGGAAUCUGGACUGUUACUUUGAAAAAAUUAGAGUGUUUAAAGCAGGCUAACGCUUGAAUACAUUAGCAUGGAAUAAUGAAAUAGGACGUUCGAUCUUAUUUUGUUGGUUUCUAAGAUUGACGUAAUGAUUAAUAGGGAUAGUUGGGGGCAUUAGUAUUCAAUUGUCAGAGGUGAAAUUCUUGGAUUUAUUGAAGACUAACUACUGCGAAAGCAUUUGCCAAGGAUGUUUUCAUUAAUCAAGAACGAAAGUUAGGGGAUCGAAGACGAUCAGAUACCGUCGUAGUCUUAACCAUAAACUAUGCCGACUAGGGAUCGGAUGAUGUUAAUUUUUUAAUGACUCAUUCGGCGCCUUACG
rnacentral:rRNA from 1 species